rnacentral:rRNA from 1 species
CCUACGGGUGACAGCAGUCGAGAAUCAUUCACAAUGGGGGAAACCCUGAUGGUGCGACGCCGCGUGGGGGAAUGAAGGUCUUCGGAUUGUAAACCCCUGUCAUGUGGGAGCAAAUUAAAAAGAUAGUACCACAAGAGUAAGCUACCGCUAACUCUGUGCCAGCAGCCGCGGGAAUACUGAGGGCUCAAGCGUUGUUCGGAAUCACUGGGCGUAAAGCGAGCGUAGGCUGUUUCGUAAGUCGUGUGUGAAAGGCGCGGGCUAAACCCGCGGACGGCACAUGAUACUGCGAGACUAGAGUAAUGGAGGGGGAGCCGGAAUUCUCGGUGUAGCAGUGAAAGGCGUAGAGAUCGAGAGGAACACUCGUGGCGAAGGCGGGUUCCUGGACAUUAACUGACGCUGAGGCACGAAGGCCAGGGGAGCGAAAGGGAUUAGAUACCCUUGUAGUC